CGCGCACUCGGCUCCAACACGGGCUCCAACUCAGGUCCAGGAUCUUGAGUUCCUCCUGGAUCCUCUGUCUGGACAGCCAAGGAGCAAAUAGAAAGUGGAAAAGACAUACUAUUUGUUAACCGCCUUGGCCCUGGGAUGACACAUCCCUUCCAAUCACACAGUAAGAAUUAGUCUCUUGAUCCUGUAAAAGACAGCGGGACUGGGAAAUGUAGUAAACACUGUGCAGAAGAAGAACAAACACAUUUAGUGAGGCUCCAGAUAUCUCUGACACAUCUGGAACCCAAGACAGACCAUGAGGUCACUAGAGAAAUGCUCAACAAAGAACUGCCAGGGAAUGGGCAUUCUAACAGAAAGAGUUACAAAAUGGCAUCUUAAUCAGGAAUCCUGUCGCAUUCAGAGAUUAAAAAAAAAGUAGGAAAAGGAACAGCCUUUCAUGAUUUCAAAGAAAGAGGUUUUUGUGAGGGAGAUAGUAAUUAGAAGAAAAAUUGAGAUGGAGCCUCUAUCGUAUUAGAGGAAGAAAUAUAUCAAGGUUAAAUAUUUGAAGCAGACUGUUGGGAAGUUAGUGAAUUCUUGAGAUACUGUACAGGUCAGUGAGACUUUAAGGAGAGGGAAACAAAACAGAGAGACAAGGCAGGCAGGACUAUAAAAUAUUUUGCAUUCUUUUGCCCUCGAGAGUAAGGAAGUCAAGAAUAUAGUACAUAUUUCACCAAAAGAGUUAAAUUCUCACAGGAAAACCUCAGGUUUUACCCACUUCCCAACAUCCCUG
rnacentral:lncRNA from 10 species